GGAGUAUAGCUCACUGGUGGAGGGUUUGCCUCAUGUGCAAAAGGCCCUGGAUUCAAUCCCCAAUAACACCA
rnacentral:tRNA from 1 species